rnacentral:rRNA from 1 species
UACAGAGGGGGCAAGCGUUGUUCGGAAUUACUGGGCGUAAAGGGCGCGUAGGCGGCCUUCUAAGUCGAACGUGAAAUCCCCGGGCUCAACCCGGGAACUGCGUCCGAUACUGGAAGGCUUGAAUCCGGGAGAGGGAUGUGGAAUUCCAGGUGUAGCGGUGAAAUGCGUAGAUAUCUGGAGGAACACCGGUGGCGAAGGCGACAUCAUGGACCGGUAUUGACGCUGAGGCGCGAAAGCCAGAGGAGCAAACGGG